AAGAUGUAGGUGCCCCAAGUGGAAAAUGCAAAUAUUGUUACAAGAAGCGUUAUAAUGCUAGGUCCUAUUCCAGCAAUUGCGAAAUCUCUGGUUUUUAUAUGACCUGCUGUAAUAGCAAUUGUAUUUGGUGGAGUGCCUACUGGUAGGUGAAAUGAAAAAGAACAACAUAAAGAGGCUGGCAGCAUCAAAUAUAGUGGAUGUAUUCGUAAAGCAAUACACUGAAACAACAUAUAAAUAUAUAGUAAAAUAAUAUUUGCAAUUGCAACAUUAGAUGUCAAUUCUGUGAUAGUUUCUGCAAAUAGGCAGACAAUAAAUAAUAUCGCAAAUGGAUUUAUUGAUUUCAAAAUAGUUAAAGCAUUUCCUAGAAUAGAAGAAAGGUUGGAAGUGGUACUUCCAGCUGAGAUAGCAAAUCCACCACCCAAAACUAAAAUCAAACUCCAAUGCAUCUUCGUAUUAAUCAUUUUCCAAGUAAUCAUGCCAGGCGAUGGUUUGGUUGGACGAUUAACAGGAUCCGCGUCGAAUGAUCGAAGGAAAUCCAAUUUAGAUGGUAAUAUGAAGAAAAGAAGAGUAACACCAGCGGCUGCCGUUGAAUCUUUAACGUGUCUAUAAAGAACUAGGUUGUUCGCUCAUAUGUCGUUGAAAUACAUUUUUAUAGUAAAAUACUAUUAUGUAGCAAAAGGCUAUAAGAAUGAUGAAAACAAACACGGAAACAAAAGUAUAUAAAGAUAUAAAAAAAAGAAAGAUUUAAAGAAUAACAAUAACAAUAAUAAAAAAA